CAUCAUUUGACCUAUGAAGUAAUUAAAGCCAUGAUUGUGGGGAGGGCAAACACCACAGUUCAGGCUGCAGCCAGACUGCUUUCCAUUAAUAGAAAGCUCUGUUAUUCCCUCCCCCCACACACAUAUUUAUCUCAGUUUUAAAAAUUACAUUGGCUGCAAAAUUCCUGUCUGCACUGAAGGCAUAGCAUAAAAACAUAGAAUGUUUCUGCAGAAUUUUUUAAAAGUUGGUGCUUGAGUUUCCCAAGUUAUCUGAUUGUAGUUUUUGUUCCUCUACUAUCUGAAAAGAGUGGCUCACUUCUUCUUCAGUCUUGCCAUAUAAAUCCAGAUUUUUGAGGAAGACAGAUUGGCUUAAUGAAAACUUAUUUCUUAUGUUUUCUAGGUAAUUCUGAGACCAGUCUCCCACACACCAAUACCAAUAUGGCUUUUUCUGCUGGAUUAAGCAAAAAGAGCAAUACAAGCUGAAAUCUGGAAAAACCAUGAGAGGAGUUUUUUGUGGGUUUUUUUUCCAUACAACUUGUAAUUAACUCAUUGCUAUAGGAUUUUAUGAAUCUCACUUUUUUGUAUAUAUUGAAAACGUAAUCAGACAACUUAAUGAGAAUAAAACCUAUCAGGUUUUCAAAUAUGCAGACAGUAACUCUUAAAAGAACAUUAAUAAAAAUUAUCUCUGAAUCUUAGAUCACUAGGAGCUAUAGGACUGUACUGAGGAUGUGUCACUGCAUGUUUGCCACUUCUUAUUCAUUUCCUUAGGCAUUUGCUCUUGCUGGAAGAAUGGUACCUGGUGGCCUGGACCUUUGAUUUGAUCAGUCUGAGGUUUUGAAGGCCAAUACAAUAGUGGGGUCCAAGAACUGGCUCUGAGAGUGCAAUGCUUUAAUACAGAGGUCCAGUUAAAAUACCCUGGAAGCCUGGCACUGCCUCAUGGAAUGGUUAAUCCAUCUUCCCUUUCUGCCUCUGCUGUUCCCGCACAUUUGAACUGUCAUAUCCUUUCUCCAUUAUGUAAUAGCCUAGAGGUCACACAUGUUCCUCUGCUUUGAAUAAUACAUCUCUAUGAAGCCUCAGUAUCUCUGUUUGAAAAUUUAUUUCUUUCAUUUUAAUAUUUUAUCAAUUUUGUCCUAAAUGGAUGACCUUAACUGGUUGCAGUUCAUUUCAUUUUUUCUCUGCUUAAAUAUUUUAAAGGCUCCAAAGUACAAACAUCACUCAUGCGGUGUGUAACAAAAAUGCUCAGCUUGAGCUUUGGAUUACUUAAUUGUAAUUGUCAAGCUAUUAUUAAAAUUGAUUUUUUUUCCUUUUUUUCAAUGUCUU
rnacentral:lncRNA from 1 species